AUUGAGUAAUUGCUGAAUACAGUUGUUAAAAUAAACGGUCGGUUUACGCCAUUUUGCGUCUCUCUGCUGAAAUUGAUAUAAUAGCUGUUAAAUAUGGCUGAAAAUAAUAAUAUAAAGGUUGAACCGUAUAACAAUGAAGAAAAUAAUCAAGAAAAUAGGAUGGAUCGCCGUAGAGAUAAUAGACCGGACCGAAGACUACAACAGGGUCGGAAUCAAAUGAAUGACAACCAGUGGGGUCGUAAAGAUCCCGUUAAAGAAAAAUUGGAAAUGUUGAGUGGGCCUACAACCAAUUUAGUAAGCAAAGAUGGUGUUUCUGCUAAAAAAUUCACCGGUCGUUGUCGAUUAUUUGUUGGGAAUUUGCCAUCUUCAAUAACAGAUGAAGAAUUUCGUAAGAUGUUUGAGCAGUUUGGUGAAAUCGCAGAGGUAUUUCUUCAUAAGCAGAAAGGGUUUGGCUUCGUUAAGUUGGAUACUCGUCAGAAUGCAGAAAAUGCUAAAGCUGCAUUGGAUUUUACCAUGAAAGAUGGUAAGCAACUUCGAGUAAGAUUUGCUACUCAUGGAGCUGCUCUAAAAGUGAAAAAUCUUUCUCCAUGGGUGUCAAAUGAAUUGUUAGAAGCAGCUUUCUCUGUUUUUGGUGAGGUUGAAAGAGCUGUGGUAAUUGUUGAUGAUCGUGGAAGACCUGUAGGAGAGGCAAUUGUAGAAUAUUCUCGAAAACAGUCUGCACAAUUAGCUAUCAAGCGGUGUACUGAAGGAUGCUAUUUACUUACGAGUUCGCCUCGUCCAGUAGUUGUUGAACCACUGGAACAAAGGGAUGAAGAGGAUGGCUUGCCUGAGAAGAAUUUUCAGAAAACUAACAAACAGUAUUUAAAAGAGAGGGAAAUUGGACCUCGAUUAACUGAACCUGGUACUUUUGAGCACGAAUUCUCCAAUCGCUGGAAAAAAUUGUAUGAAUUAGAACAACAAAAAAGGGACCAUCUUGAGAAAGAAAUUGAGGAGGGGCGUCGACAGUUAGAUGAACAGAUGGAAUAUGCAAUUUACGAGCAUGAAGCAAAUCUUUUGAGAGAAAGAUUGCGCCAUAUGGAAGAACAAAGCAGUCUUAUCCAACGGGAGAGAGAAUUAAGACGUGAAGAAGAGAUGAGACGUGAAGAAGCCCGUCGUGCUAGAGAAAUGUUAUUGCGUCAACAACAAGAAGAAAUACUCAGAAAUGACUUAAGACGCAGGCAAGAAGAAAACAUGAUGAUGGGUCCUGGAUAUGGUGAAAUGAUGGAUAGGGAUUCAAACUUACAUGGAAUGCCAAAUCCUGGUCCAAUCUCGCCAUCUGGUGAUCCUAUGACUUCAUCUGCCUCUGGCUAUGGCCCUAAUGGUAUGAUGCAAGGACCUGGUAUGGGCAUACCUCCACCGAAGAACUACUUAAAAAUCCAAUGUGGAUAAUCUCUGUUUUAAAAUGAUUGGAUGAAAUCUGAUAUUUUAAUAACUUCAAAGCUGCCUCAAGAAUGGAAACAAUUCAAUUUAAAAGUGAAGAAGAUGUUUAAGCGAAGAGAUGUGAAGUGGCUGCCGUUUUCUCUUAGACUUUUCACUGAACACGAAAACCAUGUUUAACAAAUGUUUGGCACAAAAUGAUCAAAUCUGGUCCUUGUGCUAUAGAAUCAAACCAACCAACCAUUUCUUUUUUUAGAGAUAGGGAAUUAGUUGUUUUAGUGAAUUCAGUGAAAGGUUUGAAAGAGGGACCAAAAAAUGAAUAUGGAAAUUGCAAUUAAAUAUUUGGGGCCUGCAUCAAACUGCAAGAUAUGUUUCAUUAAGGAUAUUGUGGAUUUCAAAAAGCAAGAUAUAAAAGUGUUUGUAUGUAAUAUUGUAUUCAUAUGAUUGUAUUUUCAGUUUAUUAUGGAUUUUGUUUAAGAU